AGACACUUUACCACCCUAGAUCCAGAGGGGCCAGAAGGCCGUCUUAUUCUUAAUAUGCAUUUUAUUAUCCAAUCCACUCCUGACAUUAGAAAAAGCUCCAAAAAUUAGAUUCCGGCCCUCAAACCCCACAACAGGACUUAAUUAACCUUGCCUUCAAGGUGUACAAUAAUAGAGAAGAGGCAGCCGAGCGGCAGUGUAUUUCUCAAUUGCAAUUACUUGCCUCCACUGUGAGAGAAACCCCAGCCACAUCUCCAGCACAUAAGAACUUCAAAACGCCUAAACCAUAGCAGUCAGGCAUUCCUCCUGGACUUUUUCCCCCAGGAUCUUGCUCCAAGUGCUGGAAAUCUGGCCAGUGGGCCAAGGAAUGCCCACAGCCUGGGAUUCCUCCUAAGCCAUGUCCCAUCUGUGCAGGACCCCACUGGAAAUCAGACUGUCCAACUUGCCCAGCAGCCAUUCCUAGAGCCCCUGGAACUCUGGCCCAAGGCUCUCUGACUGACUCCUUCCCAGAUCUUCUCGGCUUAUCAGCUGAGGACUGACGCUGCCCAAUCGCCUCGCAAGCCUCCUGGACCAUCACAGACACUUCAGGGGGCUGGAGCCCUGGGCCAAGGGAGACCUGUGACCCCAGGUGCCGCCGGGAGAACUUCAGCCCAGAGGGGAAAUCAGCUCUCCGUGACCCAGCACCCCUACCCAGCAGCGCAACAGAUCCUGAGAGGAGCUACAGGAUGAUUCUAGAAACAGCGCACUUCAGGAAUCAUGUUGCAGGUGUUGUGCAUUGGAUCCACCACAGUCGGCUGAAACUGACAACUCAAGACAAGUGGACCAGCCAGCAGGACCCAGAUCAUCCAACUCGGCUGAUCCUGAGACGGGACCAAACUGCUGCCGAAGACGACCGCCCUGUUCUGGUCACUCCGGAGGCUAACCAGCCUACGCAUGGCUGAAGUUUGAGGAAACAACAAGCCCUGCUCUAGUCACACACUGAAAGCUGACUAGUCUAUGCACGGCCAAAGCUUGAGGACUCAUCAAGCAAGUAAAUGUAGUUAGAAAUCUUAGAACUAGUAGUUUUCCUUGUAAUAUUAACUGUUUUACUAUUGUUCUGUCACUGUGCUCAACCUCCUCUCCCAAAUAAGGACCUCUUCUGUCCUUACUAGAUAUGAAUAUACUGUACAUUGUUUUACUGUUGUUACCCCACUUAACCAUGCUAGAAGAAACACCCAUAGAAGGGUGUCCCCAUCGUACACAUACUACAUGGUCAGAAAACAGUAUAACCAGGACUCUAUUAUACCAUACUUAUUAUGAGUAUACAGGGACUCACCUAGGAACUUGUACUUACAAUCAGAUCACCUAUUCAAUUUAUGACCCAGGAAAUGGCCAGCUACCUAGGUGGAAGAUAGGUCAUGGAGUUACCGUACUCCUACUUACGUGCUUAAGCGCAUCAUAAGGUUACAGGCAGGGCUUGAGAUCAUCACUAAUAAACAUCAAAUGCAUUAGAUUUACUGACCCAGCAAGCUACAAAAAAUGAGGAAUGCUAUCUAUCAGAACAGAUUAGCUUUAGACUAUCUCCUAGCCCAGGAAGGAGGAGUAUGUGGAAAAUUCAAUCUAACUAAUUGUUGCCUGGAAAUCAAUGACAAUGGAAAGACAUUUAUGGAAAUAACUGCAAGAAUAAGAAAAUUAACCCACGUUCCAGUUCAAACGUAGAAAGGGUGGUCUCCAGAUUCUCUCUUUGGAGGCUGUUUUUCAUUUUUCGGAGGGUUCAAGACUUUAAUAAGAUUGAUUCUGGCCAUACUAGGAAGUUGCCUAAUACUACCUUGUCUCUUACCUCUCCUUGUUAGAAACAUUCAGUCAACUAUAGAGGCAAUAGUAGCUAGGCAAACUACCAGUCAGCUAAUGGCUCUAUGUAAAUGUCAACCUUUGUCUAAAGAAGAAAACUUGUCUCUUCAUGCAAAAUUAAAUAAUAGUGAUGCCUCCUAUUAAAUUUCUUUUAUAAAAGGCAUCAAAGGGGGGAAACUGAGGCAGAAAUUUAAAAAUAAAUAUGCAUUCAUUCACUCCAAGAAAAGUUAACAGGCAAGGCAAGGGUUAAAAAGAAAAGAACAAGUUUUCCUCGGCCUAGCAAGCUCACUUCAAGGACAGUUAUAAGAUAAUGUUGUUUGAGAAGCCAAGUCCAAAGGAAUGGGUUCCAGACAUCCCUCCCCUCUAGAACAAGGUUGAAGGAAAAAAAAAAAAAAAGAAGAAGACAAAUUCCUUUACUGUUACUCCUUUCCCUGGCUUCUUAAGCAUGAUUAUGUUUUACAAAUGUCUGUAUUUAGCCAGUUCUUGAUUUUCUUUUGACACAGCUCCAAGGCCACCAGCUAUGCAAGGCCACAAGUUAUGCACUAUAUGAUUAACUGCUUUUGUUUUACUUUUGUAAGUCCACUUAUAAAAACCCUGCUCUGUCUUUGUUUAAUGCUCAGCUUUUUGGAUUUGAAUCCACUCAGCCGGUGCACACCUUAAAAUAAACAUCCUCCUGUACUCUCAUAUUGGUCUCUCCAUUCCUCAGUUUCCCACAAGAUUACAAGCAUGAGCCACCGCACCGGGCCCAUUUUAACCAUUUUCAAAUGGAGAAUUCAGUGGUAUUAGGUACAUUUAUAUUGUUGUGCAACCAUCACCACUAUCCAUCUACAGAACUCUUUUUAUCUUGUGAAACUAAAACUCUAUACCCAUUAAACACUAACUCCUCACUCCUCCCUUCCCUCAUCACUUGACAGCCAUCCUUCUACUUUAUGUCUCUAUUCAUAGGUAUGAGCUCCCCCAUGCCUGCCCAAAUCACUAAUCUAAAAGGAAAUGUCAAGCUGAGAACUUCUUAGGGCAAACCUGCCUCCCAUUCUAUUCAAAGUUACCCCUCUGCUCAGAGAUAAAUGCAUAUCUCAUUGCCUCCUUUGGAGAAGCUAAUCAGAAACUCAAAAGAAUGCAACCAUUUGUCUCUUUUCUACCUAUGACCUGGAAGCCCCCUCCCUGCUUUGAGCUGUCCCGCCUUUCUGGACCAAACCAAUGUUCAUCUUACAUAUAUUAACUGAUGUCUCAUUUCUCCCUAAAAUGUAUAAAACCAAGCUAUGGUCUGACUACCCUGGGCACAUGACAUCAGGACCUCCUGAGACUGCGCCAUGGGUGCACAUCCUCAACUGUGGCAAAAUAAACUUUAUUUUUUAUUUUUAUUUAUUUUUUAGAGACAGAGUCUCGCUCUGUAGCCCAGGCUGGAGUACAGUGAUGCAGUCUCGACUCACUGCAACCUCCACCUCCCAGGUUCAAACAAUUCUCGUGCCUCAGCCUCCUGAGUAGCUGGAAUUACAGGCUUGCGCCACCACACCCGGUUAAUUAGCAAAAUAAAUUUUCUAAAUUAACUAAGACUUGUCUCAAAUUACUGGGGUUAACAUUUUGGUAACCACAGAGGGACUCUGCAUGGAGGAACACUUGAACUUUGACAAAUCUUUUACUGGUGUUUGGUAUCAGCAUAAGCUAACUUUAUGAAUAGUUUGCUGAGGCCUGGGAGCACUCCUUCCAGAGAAUCCCUGCUCUCCCAAAGUUUGGUUGAGAUCUAAAGUUUAUUUUGCUGUACAACUCCCUCUUAUUUAUUUUUUUUUUUUUUGGAGUUUUACUUGCUUCCAACAAGAAAGGCAAGUUUUCCUGCUUCCAUGACAAUGGAAGGCAGGUAAUUCCUUUAUGGAGUUUGAGCUUGCUUCCAACAGAAAAGACUAUUUUUUUUUUCCUGCUUCUAGGACGUAGAGAGUAGUCUUCAGCCUGAGACCCAUCCCUAGGUAAGUAGCUGAAUUGAGGUUUUGUCUUGGCUAAAGUUAACAACCAAAUGGUCAUAAUUUCUCCUUACUGUUAAAGUGUUCAGUAAUCAUGUAAGUUGUGUGAUCAUUUGUUUUGUUUAACUGUUUUUCGUUGUUGUUGUUUCUGUUUUUGUUGUUGUUUGGGUCUUUGUCCCAUUAGGUUUGACCAACUCUAUCAGACUUGAUCAAAUCUGAAGGAAAGUUCCAAAUUAUGGGGAAGGCCUAUCAAAUACUUAAAUUCCCAUACACACACAAAAAGGUGGUAUGGUGGGGGAGAAAAACUGCCAGCAAAAAGAAAAAAGAGGUAAGAUUUUUGAUUUUGAGUACUACACGGGCUUUAUUUACAAGGCCACCUUUUAGCUAGCCAGGCCAAUCUGAAAGAGCAAUGGUUGUACUUCUGAAAUAGCAGCAAUUUUAAAAACAAAAGCAAACAAACAAAAAAUUAAAAACAAAAAAAUAAAGGCAGCAGCAGUGGCUCAUGCCUGUAAUCCUAGCACUUUGGGAGGCCGAGGCAGACGGAUUGCCUGAGCUCAGGAGUUCGCAACCAGCCUGGGCAACAUGGUGAAACCCUGCCUCUACUAAAAUACAAAAAAUUAGCCGGACAUGGCGGUGUGCACCUGUAGUCCCAGCUACUCAGGAGGCUGAGGGAGGAAAAUUGCUUGAACCCAGGAGGCAGAGGUUGUAGUGAGCUGAGACUGCACCACUGCACUCCAGCCUGGGCAACAGAGCGAGACUCCGUCUCAAAAAAAAAAAAAAAAAGAAAAUGAAAAUGAAAUACAAAAAUCAGCUGGGCAUGGUGGCACAUGCCUGUAAUCCUGCCUACUCAAGAAGCUGAGGCAGGAGAAUCACUUGAACCCAGGGGCAGAGGUUGCAGUGAGCUGAGAUCGUGCCAUUGCACUCCAGCCUGGGCAACAGAGCAAGACUCCAUCUCAAAAAAAGAAAAAAGAAAAGCAGAUGAAAUAGCACCAAUUUGUUCCAGUUGAAAUAUGGUAAUGAGAUUUAAAAACUUCUUUUUUUAAAGGAGCUCAUUUGUUAAAGCCAACUUAAUUAAAAGCUAACAUCCA
rnacentral:lncRNA from 1 species